GACGAACGCUGGCGGCGUGCUUAACACAUGCAAGUCGAACGGAAAGGCCCUGCUUGCAGGGUACUCGAGUGGCGAACGGGUGAGUAACACGUGGGUGAUCUGCCCUGCACUUCGGGAUAAGCUUGGGAAACUGGGUCUAAUACCGGAUAGGAGCCAUCUUUAGUGUGGUGGUUGGAAAGUUUUUUCGGUGUAGGAUGAGCUCGCGGCCUAUCAGCUUGUUGGUGGGGUAAUGGCGUACCAAGGCGGCGACGGGUAGCCGGCCUGAGAGGGUGUACGGCCACAUUGGGACUGAGAUACGGCCCAGACUCCUACGGGAGGCAGAAGUGGGGAAUAUUGCACAAUGGGCGCGAGCCUGAUGCAGCGACGCCGCGUGGGGGAUGAAGGCCUUCGGGUUGUAAACUCCUUUCGCUAGGGACGAAGCUUUUUUGUGACGGUACCUAGAUAAGAAGCACCGGCUAACUACGUG
rnacentral:rRNA from 1 species